UACGUAGGAUGCAAGCGUUGUCCGGAAUUAUUGGGCGUAAAGAGCGCGCAGGCGGCCUAUCAAGUCAGAUGUGAAAUAACCAGGCUUAACCUGGUGGGGUCAUUUGAAACUGGCAGGCUAGAGUACAGCAGAGGAUAGCGGAAUUCCCGGUGUAGUGGUGAAGUGCGUAGAUAUCGGGAGGAACACCGGUGGCGAAGGCGGAUCUCUGGGCCGAUACUGACGCUGAGGAGCGAAAGCGUGGGGAGCGAACAGG
rnacentral:rRNA from 1 species